CAAGCUCUUGGGUGGAGAGUCAUACUUCGCCACAGAUCAUACCUAUCAAAGCACUCAUAGGGUGGAAGAUCACGAAGCAUCCAGCCCUAUAAGCUACGGAGGCAACAACGGCUUAUGUGCACUCCCACUCACACAUAGCCGGGUCAGCAACGGCUUAUGUGCACUCCUACUCGCACAUAGCCGGGUCAGCAACGGCUUAUGUGCACUCCUACUCGCACAUAGCCGGGUUCAAAUCAACAUGUAAAGAAGCAUCCAAUGCAUAUCAUGCAUUUUAUCAUAUUGUGAUAACACAUAAACCAUUGUAUAGCACAUUUUCACAAUAUAAAAU
rnacentral:lncRNA from 1 species